UCAGGUCAAAUGUCCAGCCUUUUUAAGGGAGAUCAGGGUGUAGCUGUUUUAAAAAGCACAAAUGGGAAGCCUCAGCUUCAUGUUUGGGCAUGACUGGCAACUAAGAUUGUUUUCCUCAACUUUAUCUUGUUUGUUGGACAAAUGAUGAGGAGAGUCGCAUUCUUAAGACAGCAAGAAAUCAAUUGGUCAGGCUGUGCUUUCAACCCAUAUUUGGUUUUGCAAUCAGAGCAAAGGCUGUGGAUUAGAGAGAUCUGUUACAACCUACAUAUGUUGAUAGAGAAGUGAUUCCCGAAUCGCAUGUGGGAAUGAACUUUACCAGAAGGUGGUUAGAAUGCAGUACUCCAGGCUACAUCUGUUGCCAGC